rnacentral:rRNA from 1 species
GAUGAACGCUGGCGGCGUGCCUAAUACAUGCAAGUCGAGCGAACAGAUGAGGAGCUUGCUCCUCUGACGUUAGCGGCGGACGGGUGAGUAACACGUGGAUAACCUACCUAUAAGACUGGGAUAACUUCGGGAAACCGGAGCUAAUACCGGAUAAUAUAUUGAACCGCAUGGUUCAAUAGUGAAAGACGGUUUUGCUGUCGCUUAUAGAUGGAUCCGCGCCGCAUUAGCUAGUUGGUAAGGUAACGGCUUACCAAGGCAACGAUGCGUAGCCGACCUGAGAGGGUGAUCGGCCACACUGGAACUGAGACACGGUCCAGACUCCUACGGGAGGCAGCAGUAGGGAAUCUUCCGCAAUGGGCGAAAGCUUGACGGAGCAACGCCGCGUGAGUGAUGAAGGUCUUCGGAUCGUAAAACUCUGUUAUUAGGGAAGAACAAAUGUGUAAGUAACUAUGCACGUCUUGACGGUACCUAAUCAGAAAGCCACGGCUAACUACGUG